ACGAACGCUGGCGGCGUGCUUAACACAUGCAAGUCACGGGGGGUAGCAAUACCAACCGGCGAACGGGUGCGUAACACGUGAGCAACCUGCCUAUCUGCGGGGGAUAGCCGGCCCAACGGCCGGGUAAUACCGCAUACGCUCUCGAGGGGACAUCCCCUUGAGAGGAAAACUCCGGUGCAGAUAGAGGGGCUCGCGGCCUAUCAGCUAGUUGGUGAGGUAACGGCUCACCAAGGCGACGACGGGUAGCUGGUCUGAGAGGAUGGCCAGCCACAUUGGGACUGCGACACGGCCCAGACUCCUACGGGAGGCAGCAGUGGGGAAUAUUGCGCAAUGGACGAAAGUCUGACGCAGCGACGCCGCGUGUGGGAUGAAGCUCUUCGGGGUGUAAACCACUGUUGCCCGGGAAGAACCUCCUGAUUUAUCAGGAUUGACGGUACCGGGUGAGGAAGCACCGGCUAACUCUGU
rnacentral:rRNA from 1 species